rnacentral:rRNA from 1 species
AAUGAACGCUGGCGGCGCGCCUAAUACAUGCAAGUCGAGCGAGAAGACGUAGCAAUACGUUUGUAAAGCGGCGAACGGGUGAGGAAUACAUGGGUAACCUACCCUCGAGUGGGGAAGUAACUAGCCGAAAGGUUAGCUAAUACCGCGUACGCUUCUUGGACUUCGGUUCAGGGAGGAAAGCGAUACCGUGGGUAUCGCGCUCUUGGAUGGGCGUCAUGUCCUAUCAGCUUGUUGGUGAGGUAACGGCUCACCAAGGCUUCGACGGGUAGCUGGUCUGAGAGGACGAUCAGCCACACUGGCACUGCGACACGGGCCAGACUCCUACGGGAGGCAGCAGUAAGGAAUAUUGCGCAAUGGGCGAAAGCCUGACGCAGCGACGCCG